rnacentral:tRNA from 1 species
AGGGGGAUCGUCCAGCGGUCAGGACACGAGGCUGUGGCCCUCGAGACGCGGGUUCGACUCCCGCUUCCCCUC